GCAGGAUAGUCUAGCGGUUAGGGUGUUUUAAUCCGAAAAGCCAAAAGGUUCUGGGUUCGAAUCCCAAUGGCAGUCUAUCUGCG